GACGAACCGUGCGAACGUUAUUCGGAAUCACUGGGCUUAAAGGGCGCGUAGGCGGGUCCGUAAGUCAGGGGUGAAAUCCCACGGCCCAACCGUGGAAGUGCCUCUGAUACUGCGGGCCUCGAGGGGGAUAGGGGCGUGCGGAACUCAGGGUGGAGCGGUGAAAUGCGUAGAUAUCCUGAGGAACACCGGUGGCGAAAGCGGCGCGCUGGAUCGCUUCUGACGCUGAGGCGCGAAAGCCAGGGGAGCAAACGGG
rnacentral:rRNA from 1 species